rnacentral:rRNA from 1 species
UACAGGGGGCGCGAGCGUUGCUCGGAAUCACUGGGCGUAAAGCGUACGCAGGCGGGUCGAUAAGUUCGUUGUGAAAUCCCGGGGCUCAACCCCGGAACUGCGAUGAAGACUGUCGAUCUUGAGUACGGGAGAGGGGAGCGGAAUUCCUGGUGUAGAGGUGAAAUUCGUAGAUAUCAGGAGGAACACCGGUGGCGAAAGCGGCUCCCUGGCCCGAUACUGACGCUCAUGUACGAAAGCGUGGGGAGCAAACAGG